rnacentral:tRNA from 1 species
GGUUGUAGCUCAGUGGUAGAGCACUUGCUCACCAAGUGAGAGGCACUGGGUUCGAUUCUCAGCACCA